rnacentral:rRNA from 1 species
AUAGCAAUAGCUACUUGCAUCAUUGUAAAUAUGAUGCAAGAUCGACUAUGUCGAAUAAAAUUCUAGGUAGAAUUAUGAUAAUGACAUUGUCUGCCUAUGUGUCUUGACCAAAUUACGUGCCAGCAGUCGCGGUAAUACGUAGAAGACUAGUGUUAUUCAUGUUUAAUCGGUUUAAAGGGUACCUAGACGGUAAAUCAAGCCUAAAAGGAAAUAAAUGAAGGGACUAAUUUACUAGAGUUACUUCUGAGGGGGUAUUAAAGUACUGCUGGUGUAGAGAUGAAAUUCUGUCAUACCUCUUUUCAAUAGAAAAAUAAUGGCACAGGUAUAGGCGAAAGCAUCCCCUUAUGUGAUAACUGACGUUGAGGGACGAAGGCUUUGUGUAGCGAACAGGAUUAGAUACCCCAGUAGUCAAAGCAGAAAAUGAUGAAUGUCAUAGAUUAGAUAUAUAAGUUUAUUCUAUAAAUGAAAGUGUAAGCAUUCCACCUCAAGAGUAAUUUGGCAACAUUGGAACUGAAAUCAUUAGACCGUUUCUGAAACCAGUAGUGAAGUAUGUUGUUUAAUUUGAUGAUCCGCAAAAAACCUUACCACAAUUUGAAUAUUUAUAUCUUUUAUUGUUUUUCUUUUUAACUUUCUUCUGAUUUUCUACUUAAAAGAAAACAAUAACAAGAAAAAAGAGGCAAUAAGAUAUAUUUACAAGCGUUGCACGGCUGUCUUCAGUUAAUGUCGCGAGACUCUGGUUAGUUCCAUUAAAUUAACGUAAACCCUUACUUUAUUUUUAUAUAGAGUAGUUCCCCGCUAUAUUGGAUAUGAUAACAGGGACUAAGACAAGUCAUCA